UUUGUUUUUGUCAGUAUUAAAAAGAGAAUUUUUAUUAUAAACAUUAUUUUGUUGUUUUUUUUAUUCAUGAAACUGAAAUAUAGCAGAUAGUUCAUGGUACAGUUUUGUGUUUCAUCAACAAGUGUGGCCACAUUUUCACAAUGUCUCAUUUCUAAUGUUUAGAAACCCAAAACCCAGUAUGAUAAAAAAUACAGAAAUUGAAGAAAAUGUGUAUGAGAACAUGUCAGAGACAAGGAAAUAGGAACUCUGUCAUCAUAUUUUUAGUUAUUCCUGUUUUCAUCCAUCAACGACUGACCACUUAUAGCAUACCAAUAAUAAAUUCAGCCACUGUUUUCUACAGUCAUCAUUCUACUGUUUAUUUUUUCUACAAAACAUUUCUGAACUCUUUAUCUGCUGCAGGAGUAGAAAAGUGAUAAUUUUUACUGGUUAGAUAAUGGAGACAUAUCAAGAUGUCCUCGAAAUUAUUAGUAUUAUAUCAGUAAGAAUAUAUUUCUCUGUCAUGUGUUUUGGAUUUUUUAGCUGCUGUAUUUUUAAAGCUCUGUUUAGCAUGUACUUCAGCCUUUUAUUGUUUACUUUAAUUGUGAUUUAAAAAGCAUUAGUGCAACCAGACACAGCUGUGCCUUUGGAUUUUGCAUCAGUGCAUCACCUAUAAAUGUAAUUAAGUGAGUGUGCAAAUGAAUCUGAACCUAAAUGUUAUAGAAAGCUUGACAUUAAACAUGCUGCCUUCAUGUGAUGCAUCUGUUGUUAUGCAGGCACGAUUAUGACUGAAGACAAAAGCUGUGUAGAACAUAGACUGUUUUAUGACUACUGCUUUUAUAAAACCCUCGUCUCCUCAGUUGCCAGAUGUUUACAGGUUGCAUUUAAAAGAAGAUGCUACACAGAGCUCAACGUGGCCUUGUCCCAUGUUUUUUCAUGCACUGCUGCCAUCAAAAAAUGUAAAAUGUCUUAGUUUGAACAUUUAAUGUUUUCUAUAUGCUGUUGUAAAUAAAAUAUGGCUUUAUGAG